ACACUACCUGUCUGCUGCCAUGGUUACAGGGACGGAGCAGAUUUAGUGGCCUGACUCCAGGGAUCACUUCCCCUGCGUUAACAAUCAACCCUGCACCCUCACGGCCAUAAAACAACCACCCUGCUGCCUCACGGGCCAGGAGAGACCAGGACACAUCAACCCUGGUGCCCUGACGCCUGUUAAAGAUGUCCUAAGUGCCUUGUAAGAUUAGCUGUACGGCCUAAUUGCUGUGGUGUCAGUGAGCGUCUCUCCCUUUGUGAUCGGGUUCACUUGGAGCUGUUAGCCCUGUUAAAUGAAAGAGCGCUGUUACAGAGGGUGGCAAGAAGUCCAGAUGAAAUGGACUUGAAUGAAGCAAUACAGUGACUUGCACUGUUGCAGGUGUCCACCAGAUGCUGCAAGCAGACAGAGCCUUUGCGGAAAAACCACAUGAUUUCACAUGUGGAAAAUCAUAUGAUUUCACGUGACAUUUCCACAUGUUUUGCACAUGAGAAAUCAUGUGAAACCAUGUGUUUUUGGAACACUUGAUGUGAUGACUUUUCACAUGUGGAUUUUCACAGAGUUGUUUUGGGUCAACCUCUGGAAUCAGUUCAAAUGCCCUGCGUGGUUCAGACAAGGGAUCCGCUUCGGGAAAGUCGUAUUCCUGGUCGUAGUGCUGAAUCCGGUGAGGCACAGCAAGAGAUGUGGAUCCAGCGGGGAAAAAAGAGAGGAAGAGAGAAGCUGCUCAGAAUUUCACCCCCGGAUUCGGGAACGUUUCGGAAUCGCCUCUACUGCAGAAUAUUUGCUGCAUGACUGACUCUGGCCGAUGGCACGGGACUUUUGGCCAAUCAGAGAACCCCAUGGUCAGACAGACGGACAGCCCUAGCAGUAAGUAACUUAUUAUGCUGCUACCUGACAAGCUGCUUAGAGCCUGAUGGAGAGAGGAGGAGGAGGGAGGAGGAGGGAGGGAGGAGGCGAUAGGCCAGUGUUUUUUUUCUCUCUCUCUCUCUCUCUCUCUCUCUCUCUCUCUCUCUCUCAGGGCGUGUUAAGGAGCAGGUGAGCAACAUUAACAGCAGCAGCUGCUCUGCACACAUGUGGUUCAGGAUAUUCACCACACUGCCUAUCUGUCUGUCCACCGGUGUGGACAGACAGUCCACCUGUACUCAAUAGCUCUUUCAAUGGAGGUUCUCUAGAAGGAUGUUUUUUAGUCCUGGAUUAGGCUUAUUCUGUCUGGAAAGCUGUCCAAUUGAGUAGCAGAGUUACACUUCAGACAAUCCCAGGAUCUCUGUGUCAGACUGCUUGGAGGUGAAUGAUUCUGUGAUUGUGUGUUCAUGCUUCAAUCCUAACCGUUGUUCUGUGUCUUCUUCUGGUACAGGACCACACAUGCCCCCUUGGUGACCGACUGUCUUUGCCCUGAAGUACUUUCAGUAACCAUCUCUGUCUGUCUGUCCGUCCAUUUGUACUAACAUCUGUCCUGUCAACAAAAAAAUAAAAAAAAUAAUUGAAAUUACAUAAGUGGAUCCAAACUCUGAUCUCCUUUAAAAAAAAAAUUAAAAACAAGUUGUCUUCCUGACCUGGUUGACUGGGACCAAGGUACUGGAGUACCAGUGUAGACCGUCGGGUCGAUGAUGGUCCUUUGGGGUGAGGUAGUAGGUUGUAUAGUUUUAGGGUCAUACCCUUCCUGUCAGAUAACUAUACAACUUACUGUCUUUCCUGAAGUGGCUGUAAUAUCAUCCAUCAUCUCUGCAGCCCACUUGUCACCUGGACCUCGAUGGGAAUAUGUACUAUGAACCAACUCAAGUUGAUAAAAUGUUUGUAAUGUCAUUUAUAUGGUAUCUGUGCAUCAUUUGGUUCUGUUUUGGUAUGGCUCUUUGUUCAUUUCAAUACUUUUUGUUUGUAUGAUGUAUUUACUAUUUUGCCAUGAACGUGAUCUGCCUCUCUGAUGUUCGCACGGGGUGAGGUAGUAGGUUGUGUGGUUUCAGGGUAGUGAUUUUGCCCCAUCAGGAGAUAACUAUACAACUUACUGCCUUCCCUGAAGGGCAGCAAUACUACACCAGACAACUACAGAGGGCGCUGUGGGCACCACAUGAUAAUCUAGCAUUGGAACGAGGUCAUCUAGCUUUUGAUCAGCUACAGAGGUGACUGCAGCGUUUCAGGUAAAGUCUACUGACAGUCUAGUAUUACAAUGUAGCUACCAUGUUAUUUGAUCACUUUGAAAUUGUAUUUAUUCAAAAAGGUAAUAAAAAUGAUUAUUUUAUAAAAUGUCAA